AUCCACUGAAUGGAUGCCUGCAGAUUGCUAAGUAUUUCAUCUAUAUCCCAAUUCGUGGACGGGCCAAUGAUUUUAGUUGAGCCAAAGGCUUUCAGCAGUUAAUAGCACAAAAUUGUGUCUUCCCCCAGCGGACAAGAAAAAUCCUAAAGCAAACCCAAUCAACAUGAGUGAAGCCCAGAACCUUUUCACCACCUUCGGCAUCCUGGCCAUCCUUCUUUUCUUCCUUUACGUCAUCUAUGCCGUCUUGUAAACGGAUAGCGGCGAGAUGAAGGUCCUUAGAGCAGGAUAAAAGGUAAUAAGCAGCAAGCAAACAACCCAAUCAAAAUGAAUGAGGCCAAGAGUUUGUUCACCACCUUCCUCAUCCUAGCCUUCCUGCUGUUCCUGCUCUAUGCCUUCUACGAAGCCGCCUUCUAGGACCCCAUCCCCAGUCACCAGACCAACACCACCAUUAUUAUUAUCACCCAUCAAGGAUAGCUUACAUGUUGAAUUUCAAUUCCAAGACGCCGGCCAUGCCAUCAUCUUGUGGUCCGGUGGAGCUUCUAGGACCCUACGCGUUUAAGAUGUUUAGCAUUUAAUGGAUUUCUACUAGUAACCUAAGCCAGAUGACGUCAAAGCCACCAGCUGCCGGAUUCGGAGGCUCGGCGAUCAUGAUGAGCACUUUGCUGAUCGAUGGGUAAACCCCUGCCAUGUGACCUCCGGCACAUUUCUUCCAUCUUAAAGAUCGAUCCAUUCGGAAUACUUUGCUGCCGGCCCUGGCGUCAUCUGCUCUAAUCAUAAAUUUUAUUUUGUGAUCUUUAUUAUUUUCGUUUGGCAAUGGAAUCUACUUAAUUUGCAAUUCAUAGACCAUGAUGUACAGUAUAGGCAAAUUGAGACCAACAGCAGCAAUCAAUGUGUAACACCAAGAAUUGGUUACUUCAUUGUUAAACAACACAUUUAUUUCGCAUUCGUAUUUGUUAAGGCAUACAUAAUGUAUAACUGCAUUUUACUCGACUUUUCCUAAAUUACUUGUGAAUAACAACCGCAAAGCAACAACAACAAACUGCAGGAAUAAAAACAAAAAGGAAACUAA